UUGCCCUCUGGACCCACCCCGACUCGCGUGGUGACCUUGUGACCGGAAGGCCCUCGCUGUUUGCCUGAGGGGGAGGGGUGGGGGUACAAGGUGCCACAGCCCCACCUGGGAAGGCUUGGCCUGGGGAGACGCCCUAGGGGUCGAACUCGGGCACAGAACAGGCUCACGGAGCAGAGGCCACGCAGCCGGCCGGCGCCCUAGAAUGUGUCCUCGGUGCGGGCAUUAAUUGGAGGUUUCCCAUCCCACUUUGAGCUGAGAAACAACAGAAAAGGGCAAAAGACCAAACUCUCAUUCUUCCGCACCAGGAAGCCCUGAGAUUUCAUCCAGAGGCAAAGAUUUGGCUGGUGGCUACUAUCUACACCACACGGAUACCCACUUGUGCGCUGGCUGGCGGAAAGACUCUCGGCAGAAAACGGCAGCAGAAAACUCCACUGGGUGUCACGAGCAGGGCGCAGGGCUGGGGGUGCUCCUCGCGCUCGAAGGGAACACGGGACGCUGCACAUCUGCCCGAGGCCACCAAUGCCCCACCAGAGCACCAGAGUCGUGUUUGCUGGGCUCAUCAAGCACAGGGCCCAGCACCAAGUGCCGCCAGUGUGUCAGCAGGAGAGCCUGCCAGCCGCCCGCCAUGCUUCGGGACAUCACGGCAGUUGGUGAGACAGAUGCCCGGCACUCACGCUGGGCGUGAAGGGACGCCGGCCAGGGACCGGAUCGCCCGUUGGCAGGGCCUGUGCGUCAGGACCGCCCCUUGCCCAGCACCUCUGUGGAUCACCUGUGCCGUCACCCAGUCUUGGGGUGGCAGCGCUAACCUAGGCUUGUGGAAGAAUCAAUGAUCCAUCUCAGAAAGAUGCCAGUGGAGAAGCAAAUGCUGUUUCAAAGCCACCGUGGGGGGUAACUUAGGUGCUUUUGCCUCUGACUUGUUCCUUCCCUACUUCCUCUGUAAGCCUGACGAUUCAGCUUAGAAAUACUAAAAUGGUUGCUGCAGUAAGAAAAAGCAAGGAACAUUCCUUGAAUAUUUCAGAGCGAAAUGCUUCUGAAAGCCCUUGGUUCCCCCACAGAAAACGUUUAAAAGAAGAAGAUUCAUGAAUCAGUAGCAGCUGUUCCCAGCACCUGUUAUUUAUUCCAAUCAUUAAAGUUCUCAUGGCAUUUUGGAAAGAACUGAGCAUUUUUCCUGGAGAAAUACGCUGGGUUCUGGACUACACAGUUGACUGCAUCCAACUGUUGCCGGAGACAAAGGGCCCACGAGGCACGCUGGAGAGUGGAGUGAGCCCCCCGAACCACCGUGUCCCUCUGAAACGACCUCCUUCAAUCCGAGCAGUUUCUGUCAUCUGUCACCCCGCCAUUGACUCAUCUGUC
rnacentral:lncRNA from 1 species